rnacentral:rRNA from 1 species
CGCGUAGGUGGUUUGGUCAGUCAGAUGUGAAAGCCCCGGGCUCAACCUGGGAACUGCACCUGAUACUGCCAAACUAGAGUACGGUAGAGGGUAGUGGAAUUUCCGGUGUAGCGGUGAAAUGCGUAGAGAUCGGAAAGAACACCAGUGGCGAAGGCGACUACCUGGACCGAUACUGACACUGAGGUGCGAAAGCGUGGGUAGCAAACA